rnacentral:rRNA from 1 species
AAAUUGAAGAGUUUGAUCAUGGCUCAGAUUGAACGCUGGCGGCAGGCCUAACACAUGCAAGUCGAACGGUAACAGGAAGCGCUUGCUGCUUCGCUGAUGAGUGGCGGACGGGUGAGUAAUGUCUGGGAAACUGCCUGAUGGAGGGGGAUAACUACUGGAAACGGUAGCUAAUACCGCAUAACGUCGCAAGACCAAAGAGGGGGACCUUCGGGCCUCUUGCCAUCGGAUGUGCCCAGAUGGGAUUAGCUUGUUGGUGGGGUAACGGCUCACC